rnacentral:rRNA from 1 species
AUUGAACGCUGGCGGCAUGCCUUACACAUGCAAGUCGAACGGCAGCAUAGGAGCUUGCUCCUGAUGGCGAGUGGCGAACGGGUGAGUAAUAUAUCGGAACGUGCCCUAGAGUGGGGGAUAACUAGUCGAAAGACUAGCUAAUACCGCAUACGAUCUACGGAUGAAAGUGGGGGAUCGCAAGACCUCAUGCUCCUGGAGCGGCCGAUAUCUGAUUAGCUAGUUGGUGGGGUAAAAGCCUACCAAGGCAACGAUCAGUAGCUGGUCUGAGAGGACGACCAGCCACACUGGGACUGAGACACGGCCCAGACUCCUACGGGAGGCAGCAGUGGGGAAUUUUGGACAAUGGGGGCAACCCUGAUCCAGCAAUGCCGCGUGAGUGAAGAAGGCCUUCGGGUUGUAAAGCUCUUUUGUCAGGGAAGAAACGGUAGUAGCGAAUAACUACUACUAAUGACGGUACCUGAAGAAUAAGCACCGGCUAACUACGUGCCAGCCGCCGCUGUAACAC